UAAUACCCGCAGCCCGAGUGGUGAUCGUUAUUAUUGAGCCUAAAGCGUCCGUAGCCGGCCUAAUAAAUCCUUGAGUAAAUCGAGCGGCUUAACCGUUCGAAUUUCGAGGAGACUGUUAGGCUAGGGACCGGAAGAGGUCAGAGGUACUCCUGGAGUAGGGGUGAAAUCCUGUAAUCCUGGGAGGACCACCGGUGGCGAAGGCGUCUGACUGGAACGGAUCCGACGGUGAGGGACGAAGCCCUGGGGCGCAAACCGGAUUAGAUACCCGGGUAGUCCAGUGGUGUAAACGCUGCAGACUUGGUGUUAGGGAUCCUACGUGGGUGCCUAGUGCCGGAGAGAAGUUGUUAAGUCUGCCGCUUGGGGAGUACGGUCGCAAGACUG
rnacentral:rRNA from 1 species